CCCUUAGAUGUUCUGGGCGGCCCGCGCACUACAAUGGCGCUUUCAGCGAGUUCCUAUGUUGAAUUUUCCUGGGUAUUCUUGGAAGCGGCGUCUUGACUUGGGAUAGAUCCUUGUAAUUGUUGGUUUUGAACGAGGAAUUCCUUGUAAUCGCGGUUGAUCAGCUCGCGUUGAAUACGCCCCUGCCCUUUGUACACACCGCCCGUCGCUCCUACCGAUGAAUCGUCCGGUGAAGUUCACAGAGUGGCGGUUCGUGGAGUUGCUCGCGAAGUGAAAUGGACCUCACGAUUUAGAGGAAGGAGAAGUCGUAACA
rnacentral:rRNA from 1 species